UACGUAGGGGGCUAGCGUUGUUCGGAAUUACUGGGCGUAAAGGGCGCGUAGGCGGCCAUUCAAGUUAGAUGUGAAAGCCCUGGGCUCAACCUAGGAAUUGCAUUUGAUACUGUUUGGCUUGAGUUCGGGAGAGGUGAGUGGAAUUCCCAGUGUAGAGGUGAAAUUCGUAGAUAUUCGCAAGAACACCAGUGGCGAAGGCGGCUCACUGGCCCGGUACUGACGCUGAGGUGCGAAAGCGUGGGGAGCAAACAGG
rnacentral:rRNA from 1 species